UACAGAGACUGCGAGCGUUUAUUCGGAUUCACUGGGCGUAAAGGGUGCGCAGGCGGCCAAGUGUGUUAGGCGUGAAAGCCCGAGGCUUAACCUCGGAAUUGCACCUAAAACUACAUGGCUAGAGUACUGGAGAGGGUAACGGAAUUCACGGUGUAGCAGUGAAAUGCGUAGAUAUCGUGAGGAACACCAGAGGCGAAGGCAGCUUGCUGGGCUACUCCUGACACUGAGGUACGACAGCGUGGGGAGCAAACAGG
rnacentral:rRNA from 1 species